rnacentral:rRNA from 1 species
AAANGCAGAUNUACAUCAUCUGGCAACGGUGGCUAAUACCGGAUGUGCCGAAAGGUCGAAAGAUUUAUUGCCUGAAGAUGAGCUCGCGUCUGAUUAGCUAGUAGGUGUGGUAAGAGCGCACCUAGGCGACGAUCAGUAGCUGGUCUGAGAGGAUGAUCAGCCACACUGGGACUGAGACACGGCCCAGACUCCUACGGGAGGCAGCAGUGGGGAAUUUUCCGCAAUGGGCGAAAGCCUGACGGAGCAAUACCGCGUGAGGGAGGAAGGCUCUUGGGUUGUAAACCUCUUUUCUCAGGGAAGAACAUAAUGACGGUACCUGAGGAAUAAGCAUCGGCUAACUCCGUGCCAGCAGCCGCGGUAAUACGGAGGAUGCAAGCGUUAUCCGGAAUGAUUGGGCGUAAAGCGUCCGCAGGUGGCUAUGUAAGUCUGCUGUUAAAGAGUGAGGCUCAACCUCAUAAGAGCAGUGGAAACUACAUAGCUAGAGUGCGUUCGGGGCAGAGGGAAUUCCUGGUGUAGCGGUGAAAUGCGUAGAGAUCAGGAAGAACACCGGUGGCGAAAGCGCUCUGCUAGGCCGCAACUGACACUGAGGGACGAAAGCUAGGGGAGCGAA